UGGGGAAUUUUGGACAAUGGGCGAAAGCCUGAUCCAGCAAUGCCGCGUGUGUGAAGAAGGCCUUCGGGUUGUAAAGCACUUUUGUCCGGAAAGAAAUCCUUGGCUCUAAUACAGUCGGGGGAUGACGGUACCGGAAGAAUAAGCACCGGCUAACUACGUGCCAGCAGCCGCGGUAAUACGUAGGGUGCAAGCGUUAAUCGGAAUUACUGGGCGUAAAGCGUGCGCAGGCGGUUUGCUAAGACCGAUGUGAAAUCCCCGGGCUCAACCUGGGAACUGCAUUGGUGACUGGCAGGCUAGAGUAUGGCAGAGGGGGGUAGAAUUCCACGUGUAGCAGUGAAAUGCGUAGAGAUGUGGAGGAAUACCGAUGGCGAAGGCAGCCCCCUGGGCCAAGUACUGACGCUCAUGCACGAAAGCGUGGGGGAGCAAACAGGAUUAGAUACCCCUGGUAGUCCACGCCCUAAACGAUGUCAACUAGUUGUUGGGGAUUCAUUUCCUUAGUAACGUAGCUAACGCGUGAAGUUGACCGCCUGGGGAGUACGGUCGCAAGAUUAAAACUCAAAGGAAUUGACGGGGU
rnacentral:rRNA from 1 species